UCUUAUUUAUCAGUGUUUGAUUUUGCAAAGGGACACAUUUCUGUUUAGCCAAAGUGAGCAGAGAUGCCUCGUACUUGUGUGAACAGUACAGAUAACUUCUGCUAUGUUUGUGGUAAAGUGACUUCUGCAUCACAAAAGCGCAGUAUAACCACUAUGGUUAAGAAAGCCUAUCACCUUUAUUUUGGCUGUAAAAGUGGAGAUCAGGACAAGAGGUGGGCCCCACACAUAUGCUGCAACAUUGUGCAACAAAUCUUCGCCAGUGGUUGAACAGGAAAAGGAAAUCUAUGCCUUUUGCAGUGCCAAUGAUUUGGAGAGAGCCAACAGAUCAUACCAGCAGUUGUUACUUCUGCAUGGUGUCUCCAGUUGGGAAAGGUGUGUCAAAGAAGAAAAGGUGGACUGUGCAUUAUCCAAACAUUCCAUCCGCUAUACGCCCAGUACCCCAAGGAGAAGGACUGCCGGUUCCUGAUGCACCAGAAUCAUUCUCACUUGAGUCAGACGAGGAAGAGGAAGAGGAUGAAACAUCUGGUCCUGAACCAUCAAUGUCUCAGGACCCACAUUUUCUCCCAUCCUCCUCCUCUGAACCACACCUCAUAACACAAGGUGAACUGAAUGACCUUGUCAGGGAUUUGGAACUACCCAAGAGUAAGGCAGAGCUGUUGGGCUCCAGACUACAGCAGUGGAAUCUCCUGGCAGGUGAUGUUAGGGUUUCCAUGUUCCGUGACCGUCAAAAGGAUCUUGUCCCAUUCUUCUUCAUGGAAGGUGAUCUUGUAGCCUGCAACAACAUCCAUGGUGUGAUGGCAGCCCUCAACAUGGUUCACGAUCCAGAUGAGUGGAGACUGUUCAUUGAUUCAUCAAAGACAAGUCUUAAAGCUGUUUUACUGCAUAAUGGCAAUGUUUUGCCAUCAAUUCCAGUUGGUCAUGCAGUCCAUAUGAAGGAAACCUAUGACAACAGGAAACAACUUUUGAGGUGCAUGACCAACAUCAGUGGCAGCUUUGUGGCG
rnacentral:lncRNA from 1 species